rnacentral:rRNA from 1 species
GUGACAUGCGGUGCAGCGGCCGGGGUACGAGGAAGGGGGGUAGUGUUGGUGGAAAGGACUAGUGGUGAAGGGCACGUAGGCGUACUAUUAAGUCAGGGGGGAAGUCCCGGGGCUCAACCCCGGAACUGCCUGUGAUACUGGUAGUCUCGAGUCCGGAAGAGGUGAGUGGAAUUCCGAGUGUAGAGGUGAAAUUCGUAGGUAUUCGGAGGAACACCAGUGGCGAAGGCGGCUCACUGGUCCGGUACUGACGCUGAGGUGCGAAAGCGUGGGGAGCAAACAGGAUUAGAUACCCGGGUAGUC